GACAGAGGCCACAAGCGUUUAGGCGGAAUCACUGGGCUUAAAGCGUGUGUAGGCGGAUCGUUAAGUGCCUUGUGAAAUCCCACAGCUUAACUGUGGAACUGCUUGGCAUACUGGCGGUCUUGAGCCAUCUAGGGGUUGCUGGAACAAACGGUGGAGCGGUGAAAUGCGUAGAUAUCGUUUGGAACGCCAAUGGUGAAAACAGGCAACUGGGGAUGUGCUGACGCUGAGACACGAAAGCCAGGGGAGCAAACGGG
rnacentral:rRNA from 1 species